rnacentral:rRNA from 1 species
AUUGAACGCUGGCGGCAUGCCUUACACAUGCAAGUCGAACGGCAGCGGGGGUGCUUGCACCUGCCGGCGAGUGGCGAACGGGUGAGUAAUGCAUCGGAACGUACCCAGUCGUGGGGGAUAACGCAGCGAAAGCUGUGCUAAUACCGCAUACGUCCUGAGGGAGAAAGCAGGGGAUCUUCGGACCUUGUGCGAUUGGAGCGGCCGAUGUCAGAUUAGCUAGUUGGUGAGGUAAAAGCUCACCAAGGCGACGAUCUGUAGCUGGUCUGAGAGGAUGAUCAGCCACACUGGAACUGAGACACGGUCCAGACUCCUACGGGAGGCAGCAGUGGGGAAUUUUGGACAAUGGGGGCAACCCUGAUCCAGCCAUGCCGCGUGAGUGAAGAAGGC